ACCAUCGAAGGAAAAAAUAAAAAAAGAAUAGCUGAAUCCCCUCGCGUGUCAGUGUUUCCACAACGUUAGUAGAACGAUUCGGUAAGUAAGUGGUGGUUGGCGAGAGACAUCGCUCGAUCGGACUGAGCCAUUGGGCCCGUCGCGUCGUUGCCUGGCAGCUAGUGUCCAUUGUGAGGUCGUGUGCCGUUAUGAAUCUCUAGUUAUAAAACGGAUCCUCCGUCUGCCGAGGUCCCAUCUUUCCCUCUCGCCGUGAAACGCAUAACUGUAUCCUUUACACGGGCACACGUGCACCACUGUGUCGUCUGGCGAACGGAAGAGGAUCGAAAAAGAGAAGAACAAAUAAGAACAGUACGAACCUAAAGUGACGUUUGACACUCGGGACCAAGAGAAAUCUAAUUUACAGCACCUUAUAAAACGUUCCUCGGGUUUCGUAUCGCUGUUGCACCGUUACGUGCUUCGAUCCCUUGCGUUUUGCUGCGGCGAACGUUUGUUCCCGCGGCGACCUGUCCACGGCUCGCACUUCUUGCGCGAUUAUACUUGCUUGCAUGGAAGAAAUCUGAGAGAAGACGCGAGUCGGGAAGUUCGUUGAAAAUUUUAAAGAAGUUCUUGGCUCUGCGUGACAGAGAUCAAAGAUGGAUAUAACAAUUAGGUUUGAAGUUUCGUUAAAAAACCCGUUCCUUGAAAUAAAGAGCAAUAUCAUUGACUCUUUCCAAGUCUGACAAUAAGACUGGAGAACAUCAAAUGACUGCAUUUGUCAUGGCGUAACGAAUCACGGCGGGUCGUGAGAACGUUUCCCUGGGACAAGGGGAAACGAUUUCGCGUACAAAAUCGACACUUCCGCCGGCGCGAGUGUGUCUUUGUUCUGGCCAACAGACAAAGGAACGCGAAGUCACGGCUACAUCGACUGUGCUCGGCUUGGCCAACCUAUGCACACUGUGAACGAGGCUUUAGGAACUCCGUGGUUGGAAUGCCGAGUCGCCGUGUGUAACGGGCAUGGAAUGCGCGAGAGGAAGUCGUGCGCGCUCGCAGAAAUUCACGUUCGAUCGGCUGAAAUUCAGGCACGCCAGCCUCAUUUCCCAUGCAGGACGAGGGCCACGGCAUUGCUACACGUGCUCUUAACUACGUGACGUGUUUACAUGGACCACUAGGAAACGACAUAUACGCACCGUGAUCGCGUGAAAAGGUAGCCUAGCGUGAUUUAUAGGUAUUUCGUUAUAGAGAAGAUCCUGCUCUCGGAAGAUGCAGUGGAAGAAAUAAUUGUCAGAGGGAAGAUAACUAUCCGAAGCUUGAGCCAUCAGAAUCUCAGGGUAUUUCAUACUUUGGAUCGCAGGAGAAAAAGUCGUUGGAAGAUUGAUCGGACAUCGAUCAAUCUCUGACAAAAUAUGGUAAAGUAUAAUUUUUCAUUACUAAAAAGUGCCGAAUCUAAAGCGUAAGCGAAUGAUAAACGAAACUAAUCUGGUUGUCAUUGUAGCGUAACAGCUUCUACAAUGAAUCGUUGGUACAGUAGCAACUAGCUAGCGUGAACGGAUCAUUACCUCGUUGCCGGUUUCCGAUCGUUCGCGGGACGAUUUAAUGGACCGUUCGCAGACCGUUUGCUCUGUUACAGCAAACCGAUCAUCGUCCGUUUCUUUCGCCUUGAGAAUCCUCUCAAAUGCUUCCGGAAGCCGCUGGAUAAAUAACGUCUCGUAAAAACGGAGAACCUUUACCGUGGUCCAUGGCGUCGAUCCGCUUACAUUUUACAUUGAUGUAGCAAAAAGCAGAUACUUUGAUUAUUCGCUCAACCAGCAACAACGUACACAUUUAGGACGCUGCUCUUUCUAACAUUCAUAGCGAUUACACGCUCUAUUUUCACGUCUAUCGACAUUGUUUCGCGUGGAAAAACUGCAAAGGGAAGCUCGAAGAAUCGUUUAGAACCGUGACAGGCUCGUUCGAUAUUUUCUUUCCUCUUGAGCAACGUGACUAGAAUUACUUGGAUAGAGUAGUAUGUAUAAGAGACUACUUAAUCCAUCAACGAAGAAAAUGCUUCACCGAUGUAGUUAAUGAAUCACUCGAGCGGACGCACGUCGGUUAAACAUCGCAGAUCUGCAUAGAAGACAAUUAAGAGUCGUUAAAAUAAUUCCGGUUAAUUAAAUGUUUCCAGUUGACGGACAGACGUCGCGAUGGAAAGUCGGUUUUGUUCGCGACUUUCAUCUAAUUAAUCCGACUGUCCCUAUUUCUCGGUGAUAUAUCGCAGUGUGGGUGGAAAUACGGAAAUAAAUGGUUCGCGUAUGUUUAAUAAUAGAUCUGAGGCUGUUCUAGCUUGAAACGGUAACGGUGAACGGAAUCGAAAAUAAGCGUCCCUGGGUGAGAGAAAAAAAAUGUAAAGAUGUGGCAGGUAAUUGGACGCCGGUAAUUAACGGAUGAUAAUCACGAUAAUGAUUACGGCGAUGACGACGAUAAUAGUGGUAUCGUUGUAUUAUGCUCGUAGCAGAUACGCCAGUACCUGCUGCUACUAGCAACGGAAGAAGAAAAGAGACUAAGACGACAUGCAUGAACAGGAAGAAGAGGAAGAGGAAAAAGAAAUGUACCACGUUGGAUCAAUGAGAGGCGCUUUCACGAUAAUAAAUAUCUCACCAUUUAUCACGUCAACUGAUUACGCCUGGAAAAACGUUACCGAUUACCAUUUUCAAUCAUCCUCGGACAGAUCGAUUUACGAUUUCAGCCAUUUUAGCCGGUCGAUCAUUCAUCGUGUUAACGGCAAGGGACACGAAGUGAGACGUGCCAUUCGAAUGGCACAACCGCGUUUAAGAGCCGAGGCGAACGCGUUUUGUCGCGGCAAUUAACGAGAAGGAACUUUCUUAUUAACUUUCCUCGAAGAAGAGCACCAUGGUGAAACUUUUACGCGGCCGCCGUGGCAAAGAAUAGAGAAAGAAAUUGUCGCGUGCCGGCCGGCUUCUCCAAUCGUCACGGUCUAUAUAUUUUAAUUUUUAGUCUUACUGCUCGGGCAAUCUGCCAAGAGUGAACGACAGUCGCAUUUGUUUGGCGUAUCAUCGCGUGCGCACGUACCAUAUUAGUUUCUAACAAUUUAAUCGGUAAUUUCUUGAUGUUACGGGAAAGUGAUCGGGCUCGUCGAAUGAUACCGUUUCGGAUAGUUAAACGCCGAGAAUUAAACAAGUUGAAAUACGCUCGCUAGCGCCGAGAUGUCCCUGAACUACUUUCCAACGCGGAAUGCGAGGAAACUAUCAAUUUAAAGAGACACGCUUGAAAAACGGAAAUUUAUGCAACCGCAUCUGAUGAGGAUGCAAGUGUUUGAUAAUACAAAUACAGUACAUUUUAGAAAGUUCGAUAAAAAUUAAAAAUUCCCCUAGAUUUAAUUACCGACAAUUUAACGGCCGUGCGAAUGCGUAAAGUUCAAGUACCCCAGAAAACUGAUUGUAAUCUUGCCUCGGAAUCGUAUACAGAAAUUUAUCAUCGUUACACCCGUUAUUUCAUAUCCGGAUUAUUAUAAAUAUAAUUGAUGCGUGUUCAUUAA